AAAAACAGGGCCGUAACUAGGGUUCGAAUUCAGGGGAGGCAGGGUUUUGGGGCCGCCGAUUUUUUUCCCUAAGUAAAAUGGUUUAAUAAAAUUAACAGUACCAAUUCUCCUGCACCAGAUGCGCAUUUCGACAAUACAUGUCUCUUCAGUGAUGCUCGUGGCCAAAAUAUUUGAAAUCCAAAGCUUAUAUAAACGAUGACCAGUUUUCCUUCGAUUACGAUUAAAAUGACCAGAUAUCCUUCGAUUUCCUUACUUUAAGACUCCGAAGAUUUCCUUAAUUUAAGACUCGAUGACGGCUGACAAAUUGGACCUCGUAAUUUUAGUAUUAUAGAUAUAAAGAUAUUUUUGUUAGAAAUCAAACUGGUAAGUUAGAAAAAAAAACAUAUAAAGCAAGAUAGUAGAACGCAAGAUAUUUUUUUUAUCGAGGACCUUGAAUUUCAAUAUUGUUGAAAGCUGAACAGACAUGUAUAGUACUACAAUUAUUGAAGUUGUAUUUAAAAUUGUUGAAAGCAAAGUUUCAUAUGUGUUCUCGUACGACAUAGGAAAUACUGAAUAACAGAUAGAUGGCCACACGAAAAAAAAUCUAAAACAAAAUACUGAAAUGGUAAAAACAAC
rnacentral:lncRNA from 1 species